rnacentral:snRNA from 1 species
AGCUUUGCGCAGUGGCAAUAUCAUAACCAAUGAGGGUCUCCCGAGGUGUGAUUAUUGCUAGUUGAAAAACUUUAACCAAUACCCCGCCACGAUGAAGUGAAAUAAUCUUUGUCGUCGGCAAUUUUUGAUAGCUCCAUCAGGAG